rnacentral:lncRNA from 1 species
AAAAUCUGGCAAGAAUUGUACCUGUGGGAGCGCUAGGGGCUAUUUUCCAUAAAUUUAUUAUUUUCAAGGGUUAUAACUGCUUUUAUAAAAGUCGAUUGGCCACCAAUGUAUAACUUGUUUGAGAUAUUGCUUAUACCUAAAGUAUUAGUUUCGUAAAAAUCUGACAGGAUUUGUACAUGUGCGAGCGCUGCAAGGACCGGACAGACAAACACAC